GAACGCACAUUGCGCCCGCUAGUAUUCUGGCGGGCAUGCCUGUUCGAGCGUCAUUUCAACCAUCAAGUCCCCGGGCUUGCGUUGGGGCCCUGCGGCUGCCGCAGGCCCUGAAAAUCAGUGGCGGGCUCGCUGUCACACCGAGCGCAGUAGCAAUAUCUCGCUCUGGGCGUGGCGCGGGUGCUUGCCGUAAAACACACCACUUUUCAGAAGGUUGACCUCGGAUCAGGUAGGAAUACCCGCUGAACUUAAG
rnacentral:misc_RNA from 1 species